CCUAACCAGUUUCUCUAUUCAAAACCACCAACUAAAGUACGAAUCGGAACCCGCCCCAGUUUACUGCAAAACCAUUUUGGCCUUUCAAGUAGCGCUACCAGUGCUCCGGGAGUAGCACUUCACAUCAUUUCCUUAUCCUUUUAAGAUAUGGGUUUUGAAUAGAAUAAUCAAUAAAUUGAGGAAUAGCUGAUGGAUAUAGUUGAAUCCAUUGUGGACAUUCCAAUUCAGGAUCCACCUGAAGAGGAUUUCUCUGCUGUUGAUUUGGGUUGGACGAAGUUUGGCACAGCUGAGCAUCAUGAUGAUGUAGCUCUCAUUCCUUAUUCACGAGUUGAUUCAUUUAUAAUUGGAGAGUGCUCUAAUGUAGAAUGCCCUACACGCUUUCAUAUUGAGAGGGGAAGAAAACGAGCAAAGGGCAGCUUAAAGGAGUACAAGAAUGAUGAGUAUUUGGAAUAUAGGCUGUAUUGGUGUUCAUUUGGUCCUGAAAAUUAUGGUGAAGGUGGUGGCGUGUUGCCUAGUCGAAGAUAUCGACUUAACACUAGAAAUCGUGCUGCCAGACCUCAGUCCAUGCGGGGAUGUACAUGCCAUUUUGUAGUGAAGAGGCUCUAUGCUCGUCCAUCACUUGCACUCAUUAUAUAUAAUGACAGGCGUCAUGUCAACAAGUCAGGUUUUAUCUGCCAUGGGCCCCUUGACAGAGAUGCCAUUGGCCCUGGGGCCAAGAAAAUUCCUUAUAUCUGUAAUGAGAUUCAACAGCAAACAAUGUCUAUGAUCUAUCUUGGCAUUCCUGAAGAGAGUGUGUUAGAGAAACAUAUUGAGGGUAUUCAGCGAUAUUGUGGUUCAAACCCUAAUGUCAACACUCUUGCUUCUCAGUAUGUCCAAAAACUUGGGAUGAUAAUUAGGCGGUCUACCCAUGAGUUGGACCUAGAUGAUCAAGCUAGCAUCCGGAUGUGGGUUGAACGCAAUAAGAAGUCUAUUUUCUUUUAUCAGGAUUCAUCAGAAACAGAUCCUUUCAUUCUUGGUAUUCAAACUGAAUGGCAGUUACAACAAAUGAUCCGAUUUGGUCAUCGCAGUCUCAUGGCCGCUGAUUCAACCUUUGGCAUAAAGCGACUUAAGUACCCCUUGUGCACUCUUCUUGUUUUUGAUUCAAGACAACAUGCACUUCCCAUUGCAUGGGUCAUCACACGAAGCUCUGCAAAGCCUGAUGUGGCUAAAUGGAUGAAAGCUCUACUUGAUCGUGCUCGGGGUGUUGAAAUUGGAUGGAAAAUCAGUGGAUUUCUCAUUGAUGAUGCAGCAGCUGAGAUUGAUCCCAUAGGGGAGAUUUUUUGCUGUCCUGUCUCCUUUUCCUUGUGGCGUGUUCGUAGAUCAUGGCUUAGGAAUAUUGUUAGAAAAUGCAGUAAUAUUGAAAUUCAGCGGGAAAUUUUCAAGCAACUAGGAAAUAUACUGUAUAGCAUAUGGGAUGGACGUGAUCCUUUUGCUGCCUUGCUAGAAUUAACUCAGGAUUUUGUUGAUCAAACUGCAUUUAUUGGGUACUUCAAAGCAUCUUGGGUACCUAAGCUCGAGAUGUGGCUUACAACAAUGAAAACUCUUCCAUUGGCAAGCCAGGAGGCAUCUGGUGCCAUAGAAGCUUAUCAUGUGAAGCUGAAAGCCAAACUAUUUGAUGAUUCACAUCUAGGUGCACUCCAGAGAGUUGAUUGGUUAGUACACAAGUUAACGACUGAGUUGCAUUCAAGCUACUGGCUUGAUCGGUAUGCAGAUGAAAGUGAUUCUUUUCAAAAUGUUAAGGAGGAAUAUAUUGCAUCUACAUCUUGGCACCGAGCAUUGCAAAUUCCAGAUUCUGCUGUUACCUUGGAUGAUAAGGACCGUCUCUUUGCAAAGGUCUUGAGCCAAAAAGACAGCAGCCUGACACAUCUUGUGUGGAAUCCUGGUUCGGAAUUUGCUUUCUGUGAUUGUGCUUGGUCAAUGCAAGGAAACAUUUGCAAGCAUAUUAUCAAAGUCAAUAUGAUGUGUGCAAGCCAUGGAGGAUAUAAAACUUCCAUGUCUUUUCAGUCAUUGAAAGAUAUAUUGAUGAAUCUUUCGAAAAUACCCAUAGAUGACUCAGUUGCUCUAGAUCAAUCUGUGGCUUGGACUCACCAGAUGCUUGAUCAAAUUAAACAACUGGUUGAACUGAGUAGUUCAAAUAAUAUUGGUACUGUUGUAAGUAAUCUGCCUCUGAAAUGGGUUUCUAAGAAAGGCAGGACAUUUACUGGUAUACCAUCAUCUACUCUGUCUCUUCGCUUGGCUUCUGAUGCUGGUACAAAGAAUGCGACUGCAUGUAAAAAGAACCGAAAGAGAAAAAGACUGUCUCGACUAAGAUGAUUGCAUGAGUAGGUAGAUAUAAAAUUCCUUCAUGGAUAAAUUUGACUUCUGAAAUUCAAGGUUUUCUGCUUUACAACUAUAUUUGAUUUCUAUGUGGCCGGCAUAUCAUCUUAACUCUCUUCCUGGUUGAGUUUUAUCUUUUCUCGAAAUCUUAUGUUCUAUCAAGAAUUAGUAUACACCCUGCCACCACCAAUCUGUAAUGUUGAAUGGUGUGGUUUUUGAAUGGUCGAAAGUGUAAGGAAGCAGUUGAGGAGACUAAAGGUUUAGAUAUUCAUGUUUGUUUCACAUUCAUCUUUGGGAAAAUUCUUGUGCGGUUGCAAUUGCCAAUAAGGUAGCUGUCAAGCUCUGCUUCAGAAUUUUGAAAGCAGUCAAGAGCAUUAUACAUUUCUUUUCUUCACCAAGUUCCUUAACAAUUACGCCUUUCUGAUUUGUAUUGUUUGAACUUUUCAGGGUUGAAUAAUUGGAUUUCUACAGAGAAGAUUGAAGGCAUUUCUUUGAGAAAGGGUUUAUUUUAUUAAUCCCUACAAGGGGUUUUGACACUGUUACUUGGAUUUUCAUUUAUAAUAUAUUUUAAGGUUUUUUUUUUUUUUUUUUAAAUCUAGGGUGUUAUAUAUAUUUUUGGAUUUCAAAGGUUGCGAUCUUAUCAGGUGAUCUUACAAGCAUAAAUGAAAUAAUCCCUUUCAGGAAACUAUGUUAGCUGUAUCAGGUGAUCUUACCAUAUCGAAUAGGCAGCUAUAAUGUAUCAAAAAUAUGUUAGUUUUUCUGGGAAAAUCUGCUUCACUGUUUUGCAGAAUUUGUGCUCCAUAAAUACGAAAUUUGGAAGCAUAAUGUGAAGUUGUUGUUGUUGGUUCUGUUUUGGA